GGGGAAUAUUGCACAAUGGGGGAAACCCUGAUGCAGCGACGCCGCGUGGAGGAAGAAGGUCUUCGGAUUGUAAACUCCUGUUGUUGAGGAAGAUAAUGACGGUACUCAACAAGGAAGUGACGGCUAACUACGUGCCAGCAGCCGCGGUAAAACGUAGGUCACAAGUGUUGUCCGGAAUUACUGGGUGUAAAGGGAGCGCAGGCGGGCGAUCAAGUUGGAAGUGAAAUCCAUGGGCUCAACCCAUGAACUGCUUUCAAAACUGGUCGUCUUGAGUAGUGCAGAGGUAGGCGGAAUUCCCGGUGUAGCGGUGGAAUGCGUAGAUAUCGGGAGGAACACCAGUGGCGAAGGCGGCCUACUGGGCACCAACUGACGCUGAGGCUCGAAAGUGUGGGUAGCAAACAGGAUUAGAUACCCUGGUAGUCCACACCGUAAACGAUGAUUACUAGGUGUUGGGAGAUUGACCCUCUCAGUGCCGCAGUUAACACAAUAAGUAAUCCACCUGGGGAGUACGACCGCAAGGUUGAAACUCAAAGGAAUUGACGGGGGCCCGCACAAGCAGUGGAGUAUGUGGUUUAAUUCGACGCAACGCGAAGAACCUUACCAAGUCUUGACAUCCCUUGACGAUGCUGGAAACAGUAUUUCUCUUCGGAGCAAGGAGACAGGUGGUGCAUGGUUGUCGUCAGCUCGUGUCGUGAGAUGUUGGGUUAAGUCCCGCAACGAGCGCAACCCUUAUGGUCAGUUACUACGCAAGAGGACUCUGGCCAGACUGCCGUUGACAAAACGGAGGAAGGUGGGGAUGACGUCAAAUCAUCAUGCCCUUUAUGACUUGGGCUACACACGUACUACAAUGGCGUUAAACAAAGAGAAGCAAGACCGCGAGGUGGAGCAAAACUCAGAAACAACGUCCCAGUUCGGACUGCAGGCUGCAACUCGCCUGCACGAAGUCGGAAUUGCUAGUAAUCGUGGAUCAGCAUGCCACGGUGAAUACGUUCCCG
rnacentral:rRNA from 2 species